CAACUACUCCCUCUGUCCCAAAUUUCUUGUCUUAGAUUUGUCUAGAUACGGAUGUAUCUAAUACUAAAAUGUGACUUGAUACAUCCGUAUCUAGACAAAUCUAAGACAAGAAUUUUGGGACGGAGGGAGUACU
rnacentral:pre_miRNA from 1 species